rnacentral:rRNA from 1 species
CUGGAAUGGUUUUUGAUCAAAAUCUAUAUGGCCUCUGGAUUGGACUGCGGCCGAUCAGGCUGUUGGUGAGGUAAUGGCCCACCAAACCUGUAACCGGUACGGGCUCUGAGAGGAGGAGCCCGGAGAUGGGCACUGAGACAAGGGCCCAGGCCCUAUGGGGCGCAGCAGGCGCGAAACCUCUGCAAUAGGCGAAAGCCUGACAGGGUUACUCUGAGUGAUUUCCGUUAAGGAGAUCUUUUGGCACCUCUAAAAAUGGUGCAGAAUAAGGGGUGGGCAAGUCUGGUGUCAGCCGCCGCGGUAAUACCAGCACCCCGAGUGGUCGGGACGUUUAUUGGGCCUAAAGCAUCCGUAGCCGGUUCUGCAAGUCUUCCGUUAAAUCCACCUGCUUAACAGAUGGGCUGCGGAAGAUACUAUAGAGCUAGGAGGCGGGAGAGGCAAGCGGUACUCGAUGGGUAGGGGUAAAAUCCGUUGAUCCAUUGAAGACCACCAGUGGCGAAGGCGGCUUGCCAGAACGCGCUCGACGGUGAGGGAUGAAAGCUGGGGGAGCAAACCGGAUUAGAUACCCGGGUAGUCCCAGCUGUAAACGAUGCAGACUCGGUGAUGAAUUGGCUUUAUGCCAAUUCAGUGCCGCAGGGAAGCCGUUAAGUUUGCCGCCUGGGGAGUACGGUCGCAAGACUGAAACUUAAAGGAAUUGGCGGGGGAGCACCACAAGGGGUGAAGCCUGCGGUUCAAUUGGACUCAACGCCGGU